UACGGAGGGGGCUAGCGUUGUUCGGAAUUACUGGGCGUAAAGCGCGCGUAGGCGGACCUGCAAGUCGGGGGUGAAAGCCCGAGGCUCAACCUCGGAACUGCCUUCGAUACUGCGGGUCUCGAGUCCGGGAGAGGUGAGUGGAAUUCCUAGUGUAGAGGUGAAAUUCGUAGAUAUUAGGAAGAAACACCAGUGGCGAAGGCGGCUCACUGGCCCGGUACUGACGCUGAGGCGCGAAAGCGGUGGGGAGCAAACAGGG
rnacentral:rRNA from 1 species